GACCAGAUAGCUCAAUUGGUAGAGCGUCCGGCUAGCGUUCGGAUGGUCCCGGGUUCAAACCCUGGUCUGGUCG
rnacentral:tRNA from 1 species